AGCCAACAGCCUACGAAGACAGUCGCAAUAAUGAAUCGACCACCCUGCGUAGGAGUAUGAAAAUUUUUAAACAACGUGUUUUGUCAUUUAUCCCAUUGUGCUUCAACUGGAAAGAACUAGUUUCAACCACAGAACUUGACCUGCUACCUAUAUAUUUCAUAAAAUAGAAGAAAGUUCCCACCAAAUACCAAAUCAAUUGAACAAAUAUAACAGUAAAAAUCUGGUCAAAAUUUCAUCACUUCGUAGUAUUUUAUUCGCAUAUGAAUCACAACGCCAGCGCCGUGAAUCGAUUCCCAUGGAGAUGAAAAUAAUGAGUGGACAUUUCUCCGGAUUGAAAUUUUUCAAUCUAUCGAGCUUUCAACUCGGUUCUUCGAACCUUCUUCUGAAUACAGAAUUACAAUCCACAUAACCGAGGGAGUUAAAAUUCUAUAUUGUGAUGAAAGCUAAAAGGACAGAGUCAAAUUAAUAACUGCAUAAAUAUAUAGAGAGCUUAGGACCACGCCAGAGAGAUUAAGAUUUUCUCUAAGCAAGUCUAAGUAAAACAUUUUGCUCAUUCGCUGAAUUCUUUUGCAUAAACGAUUUUUUAUCUUGACGAUGGCAAAAAUGUGAAGGGCAAACAUGACUUGAACAAGAAUCACAAUCUUCUCCAAAUGUUUUAAAAUUGUGUAAAUAAUUUGUUAAAUAUUACAUACAAUGCCAAAAUAAAGUCAUAAUUUACCAGUAUACAUACGAAAAA